UACGUAGGGUGCAAGCGUUAAUCGGAAUUACUGGGCGUAAAGCGUGCGCAGGCGGUUAUGUAAGACAGAUGUGAAAUCCCCGGGCUCAACCUGGGAACUGCAUUUGUGACUGCAUAGCUAGAGUACGGUAGAGGGGGAUGGGAAUUCCGCGUGUAGCAGUGAAAUGCGUAGAUAUGCGGAGGAACACCGAUGGCGAAGGCAAUCCCCUGGACCUGUACUGACGCUCAUGCACGAAAGGCGUGGGGAGCAAACAGG
rnacentral:rRNA from 1 species